AUUAAAACAAAUUUAUCUUUUUCUUUUUUAAGCCACCGGGGGCUUCGACCCCACCUUAUACCCAUUGACGAAACUCUCGUUAUCUGCUUGCUGCUUGUUCAAAUAACAUAUUCCUUUACAAAAUGGGCACAUGUCAAAAACGGCAGGCCGGCGAUCGGGCUUCUUUUUGUUCGAUGAAUCUGCAUCAACUGUCACACGUGGGUCUACCGUAUAGAGUAUUUUUUGUAUGUUCAUUUAAUAAUAAAUAAAAUAAAAUAAAAUUUAAUGCAAUUAUACCCAAAACGUGGUGUCAGAAAAAUUCUAGAGUCGUGUCACCGUGACGAGGCGGCUGGGCCUUCUUGUCCAGCGUCAAAAAAGUUCAACUUUGAAAGCGAACAUUCGAGUUGAAACUCCCAACAAUAGGUAUGCAUUGAUAAGAAAUAUACACUUUUUUUUUUUAUGUAUAUAAAAUGUGCGUAAAGUGAGAAUAUAUAUAUAUAUAUAAAAUAAAUAAUAAGAAUGAUAUUAUUUAUACAUAAAUAUACACAAAAGAUUGCAUGUGUCUUUGAAGAUAGGAAAUGUUUCACCAAAUUAAAAAAUCAACUCAUUUAGUUCAUUGGUUUUGUAUUUAUGUAGAAAUGCCCUCAUUCUAUAUGUAAGUGCAAUUUUUUCUGCAAAUAUGUGUGUAUAGAGGAUUACUGAGGAUUACUCAAAGGGUAAAUUUCAAUUGACCACUUACUUCUAUGAGAAUCUUUAAAUUAUUUCUAAAAAGUGUGAAAACAUCAAAUUUACUGUUAAGAAAAAAUUUUUUUUAAAAAAAAUCAUCAACAUACCCUCCAUUUGCUAUCAUCUUCUAAAUGAAAUUGGGAGUAAAUUAAAAUUUUCACACUUUCAAAGGACAAUUUGAAGAUUUUCAUUUUAUCUAGGAAAUGUACUGAAGUUUACUCAUACUCAAAUAAUAAUAAGAGUGUAGCUAUUUAUACUCUAAACAUUACUUCAAACACUUUAAUUUUUAUUAUAAAAAUACCCAUCAUAUGAAUUAUUAUCAAGGAUAAUUUAUUAUAAGUAAUUAUUACAUAGUUACUUUGAACACACAUAUUGCAUACUCAUUAUUCAAUGUACAUAAUUCUCAUGCUUUAACUUUUUUUUUCCAGCAUCUUCAAUACUUAGAUGAAUAAUGAUGAAAUCAAUAUAUUUAUUUUUUAUUUUUGCACUCAUUAUUUAUGGAAUAUUUCUUAU
rnacentral:lncRNA from 1 species